CAGGAGUCUAGCAUGUGCGCGAGUCAUUGGGACUUGCAAAACCUAAAGGCGAAAUGAAAGUGAAGGCGCGCCUUGCGCGCGCCGAGGGCGUCUCAUUCUCAUUGCGAGAGGGGGCGCACCUAGAGCGUACACGCUGGGACCCGAAAGAUGGUGAACUAUGCCUGGUCAGGACGAAGUCAGGGGAAACCCUGAUGGAGGUCCGUAGCGAUUCUGACGUGCAAAUCGAUCGUCGGAACUGGGUAUAGGGGCGAAAGACUAAUCGAACCAUCUAGUAGCUGGUUCCCUCCGAAGUUUCCCUCAGGAUAGCUGGCGCUCGCUGUGUGCGAGUCUCAUCCGGUAAAGCGAAUGAUUAAAGGCAUUGGGGUCGAAACGGCCCCAACCUAUUCUCAAACUUUAAAUGGGUGAGAUCUCCGGCUUGCUGGAACUAUGAAGCCGCGAGACCUCGGAUCAGAGUGCCAAGUGGGCCACUUUUGGUAAGCAGAACUGGCGCUGUGGGAUGAACCAAACGCCGAGUUAAAGCGCCCAAAUCGACGCUUAUGGGAUACCAUGAAAGGCGUUG
rnacentral:rRNA from 1 species